rnacentral:tRNA from 2 species
GCGCCCGUAGCUCAGCUGGAUAGAGCACCAGACUACGAAUCUGGGGGUCGCAAGUUCGAAUCUUGCCGGGCGCA